CGCUGACAGUGCUGUAGUUAGGAAGUAUGUAUUGAUUUUUAUCUCGUCCCUUUUUCGAGUUUUCCGCACGUUCGGCGUUUAAUAUUAUAAAAGUUAAUUUUUUAUCGUUUUCCUCGGUUAUUUUUUUUUAAUUUUUACUAUAGUGUUAUUUGUACUUGUGUCUGUGUCACCGUUUUUACCAAAUGACGCGUUUAUGAGGCCCAACCGUUUACGGCUAGUCUGUGUAUCUGUUUCGCGUUUCCAUACUGUAAAUAAUGGCUAAAGACAGGCUAGCGGCUUUAAAAGCGGCUCAAAGUGACGAUGAAGAAGGAGGUGCCGAUGAUGUGGCAGUCAAUUUGGAAGGUCGGCAAGAUGGGUCUGGAGCUGGAUUUAUGGAUAAAUUUUUUGAGGAGGUGGAAGGUAUCCGAGGGAUGAUAGAUAAGAUUCAAGCAAAUGUGGAAGAAGUGAAGAAAAAACAUAGUGCAAUUUUAUCUGCUCCUCAGACUGAUGAAAAAGUGAAACAAGAACUGGAAGAUCUUAUGGUGGAUAUAAAAAAAACUGCUAAUAGAGUCCGUGCCAAACUUAAAGAAAUUGAACAGAAUAUAGAAGCGGAAGAGCAAUCGAACAAAUCGUCAGCAGAUUUAAGAAUACGCAAAACACAACAUUCAACAUUGUCACGUAAAUUUGUUGAAGUGAUGACAGAAUAUAACCGUACACAGACAGAUUACAGAGAACGUUGUAAAGGGCGAAUUCAAAGGCAAUUAGAAAUAACGGGAAGAACAACUACUAAUGAUGAACUUGAAGAAAUGUUAGAACAAGGGAACCCGGCUGUGUUCACGCAAGGCAUAAUUAUGGAAACACAACAAGCUAGGCAAACAUUGGCUGACAUUGAAGCCAGGCAUGCUGAUAUUAUUAAACUGGAAAACUCUAUUAGAGAACUUCAUGAUAUGUUCAUGGAUAUGGCAAUGUUGGUAGAAAAUCAGGGUGAACUUAUUGAUAGAAUAGAAUAUCAUGUAUCAUUCACUGUUGAAAAAGUUGCUGAAGGCAAAAAAGAACUGGAUGUUGCUGAAGACUAUCAUAAAGGAGCCCAAAAAAAGAAAAUCAUGAUCCUGAUAUGCUUGACAAUUCUCAUUGUUAUUCUUGGAGGAUUUGUGAUGAGUUUUCUUCCCAAGCCCCUUUAAUACAUCUUCGUGAAAUGAAGCAUCCCUCAAUAAUUGUCAGCUUAAAUUCUCUGCCUGAAAUAAACGUGUAAGAUAUAGGUGCAUCCAGACAAUGGUCACGAUUGCCGGAGGGUAUAUCGCUAACACAGCAUAUCACUCGUGUGGUGUUCCUGACAUUCGAUGCACAUAUGAAAGCGUACCUUUACAUAUAUUUAUGAUCAGUGAUAUUAAUAACAAUGAAAUUAACUUUUGUUUAUUUUGAGCAAUUUUGACGGGUACAUCCGGCAGAGCAGUCACUCAAUACAUACUAGUUCUUCGACAUGUAAAGACUGGAAUAGUGUACGAAAAACAACAUUUUAUUCGUUUAAUUUAUUUAAUUUUUAUUUCCUUUUCCUGCCUCAAAAAAAAAAAAAAAAAAACGAGUAAAAAAAGUCCAUGUGAUUUAUUUAUCAACGCUGUCUGUCCUGUUUUAAAAGUAACUAUAUAAUAAUAUUUAUUGUUUUUUAAAACCUCUUUCUUAAUUAUUAUAGUUAUAUUGUUAUUGAUAAAAUUAUUAGAUUUUUAAAACCAAUUAAUAUAUCUAUAUAUAAUAAUUAUUAACUAUAUAUUAUAAUAUAGACAUUCAUGUGAUAAUUCGUUAAGAUAUUCAAACAAUGUUGGCUUCCUCGUUUUAUCAUUUUAUAAUUUCUGCAGUGCGAUGCGUAGGUGAAUUGGAAAUAAUGUCAAUUUUUAAAUAAAAAAAAAAAUAGUUGUUUUGUUCUACUUAAGUAUUAUUCAUCAGUAUAUGCUUUAGAAGGACUAAUGUAAUGUAUUUACAUUGAUUUUCUUCCGAGAUUAUUAUUUUUUAUAUUAGUUUUAGUAAGUCCCAUAAUAGUUUUAACUAAGUAAAAGUGCCUUGGAGUAUAUAGUCAUCAAAUACCAACAGUAAUUUAGACAUUAAUGCUUAUUAAUAUUUGAAAAUGCGUAUUAUUAUCAAUAUUAAUGUACAUUAUCUAUGUAUUAUUAUUGUUGUAAAUCUAAAUUAACAUUUAUUUAUUUUUUGUUUUUAUUUUUUUCAAUUGUAUUAUGAUUUCAAAUUGAAAAUAUCAUUCUCUUUCACCUUUUUAUUAAAAUGAUGGUAAUAAUAAAUAACAAAACCGUUAGAAAUUUAUAGCCAUUAAAAGUUUCAAAAACGAUUUACAUAAUAUAUGUUUUUCCAACAUAUAUUUUGUAGAUUUAAAUUUACUACUAAAUUUCUAACAUAAAAGUGGAAUUCGCUCAAGAUAUAUUAUUUAUUUCUGAGAAGUUUUUUUAUUUUGAUUAUAUACACAUCUCGUUUGACAACAUUAUGUCUUAAUCAAUUAUUUUUUAUUUAUCCUGUGUAAGAGUGUUACCUAUUUUUAUUUUUAACUACUACUAGUAUUUUCGUAAUUAAUUUUUUUAAAACUAAUUUAACAAUUAUAAUGUAAUUUUAAUGAUAUUUGGUACUAUGCUUUUUUUCUUGAUAUUCUAUGUUUUUUAGUCACAGUAUUCGUAUUUACAGUCUUUUUUUUACAAUGUAAUUUAAAUUAGAAAAAAAUAUAAAUACAUACAAUUUUACUGUAAAUACAUUUAAUUAUACUACAUGUUUUGCCAUAUUGCUGUUAUUGUGUUCUAAUCAAAUUACAAUAUUAAUAAUUAAUAAUUAAUACCAUUUUUAGAAAAAAAUAGAUUAUUUAUUAUACAUUUCAUAAUUAUUGUUCUCUUUAUUUAUUUAUGUUUUUGUUUUAUUUUAUUAUUAUUUGUUAAUGAUGAAAAUGUAAUUUACAUUUUUAAUCAGAAUACACAAUUUUAUAGAUUAGAGGACUAUUUUCGUUUUUUUUUUUAAAUUAUAGAUUAUUAAAUUAUGAAUAUCUAAAAUAUAAAAAUUGUACAGUGAAAAAAUUGUUUCUUGUUAAAUUUGUUGAUCUUUGCCUAUAAUUGUAGUGAAGAUAUUAAUUUUUUUUAAUGUUUAAGUGUUAAUAUUGUAAAAAUAGUGCAAUUUAAGUCUUUUUAAUAAAACAAUUUGUUUUGAUUAGUUAUUAAGAGAGCAUUUUAUUAAAUGAUACAGAAAAUCAUCAAUAAGAUUUUUUUCUUUUUUAAAUUCUUACAGCCUAAGUUAUAAAAUUAGUACGUCAAUUUUGUUUUUAAUUAAUAAGUAACUUUAAUAGGGCCAUGACAAAUAGAUUUUUUUUGCACACUUAGCUUAACAAUAAAAUCAAUUGAACAAUGAAAUUUGAUAUUUGAAAGAAUAAAAUGUUAGUGUUCUAAUCACCAUUAACCCAUUGGGCACUUAAUAUAUUCCAAUGUCAUUUUUCUUUUGUCAAUAUAACUUGUACUUAUCACAUCUAUUUUGUGUACUUUGUUUUGACACAUUGUCAAUCAUAUUUUUAAACAAAAUCAUACUACCUAUUUAAUUGUAGCUGUUUUAGCAACAUUUUAAGAUGUUUUUCUGUUUUACUUGAAGUAUUUAAAUUUUUUGCUAUACAUAUUAUAUUUUUUGUAUGAUCUAUAUAGUUUAAAAGUAAAGUAUUAUAAUUAUUGUAGAUUUUUUUUUCUAAAAAAAAAAAAAAAUGUUGAUAUCUGGUCAUAAAUACAUUUUUUUAUUGACCAUUGUCAGAAGUCAUGAUAUUGUAUCUACUUUUUAAUUUUAUCUGAUAAUAACUCAUUAUAAAGUAAUAUCAAAUUGGUAAUAAACUCGUAAUAAUGUAUUAAUAUAUUUGUCGUUAUUAAUAUAGUUACUUUUUGUUAGAUUAACCAGUGGCAUACCAAUUACUGUUUAAUAUAAAUAAUAUUAUAUUAUAUAUAUACCUAAUAUAAUACAAUAUUUAUAAUAUAAAUAAUAAAUUUUUAUGUUCGGUUAACACAAUUUUUCACAAAUCUGUUUCGUUGAUUUUAGGUUGCCUACUCUAUUCUAUAGAGUCCAUACAAUAUAAUAUUAUAUACACAUACACACCUAUCCUCAAAUGUUCUGUACCCAGUGCUGAUUUAUGGGGUACCUGUAUAGAAUAUACUUACUUCUACUAUUUAUUUAGCUUAAACCUACUCAUUAAAUUCAUGAUUCAUGAUAGGGUCGUAUGCCCAUAUAUACCUAUUAGAAUUUUCAGUAAUGUAAACAAAAUAUCCUAUAAUUAUAUGCAAUCUUUAAUUCUCAGAUCGCACUUAGUAGAUAUUACGUAAUUUUCAAAAUAAUAUUUUGAGAGCCAAAGACCAACUUGCCAACAGAAAUACCCUAUAUUUUAUGUAUUUUUAAUUUUUUUAUUAUUGUAAUAUGUAGUAAUAAUAAAUAAUAAUAUAUUAAUAUGUAUAUUAUGUGGUAGGUAUAGCUAUUGUACUUAUACUCUUAAAUUAAUGUGUGAAUGUUUCAAAUUACAUUUCUUAGUAUCAGAUAAUUCUUUAUGGUCUUAUAAAAGUCAUGUGUAACUUACUAUUUUCAUAUUUUUUUUUUGGAAAAAAUACUACAAGAAACACCCAAAUACUAACCUAUUAAAGCAUAAAUUACAGUAGAAAUUGUUAAGUACUUCAUCAGUUUGUACAUACAAAAUCUUAAUUCCCAGCAGGCCAGCUGAAUUUUCUAUGUUUUUUGUGUAUUGUUUUGUUUAACCUGUCAAUUAAUUAUGUGACCAAACUAUAUGGUCUAAACUAUUAUGGUCCCUUACUGGCUUACUCCCAUUGAUGCGCCAUUAAGCAAUUUCUACUAUACUGUAAUUUGCACAAUAUUUGCUUGUAGAAUAUAUAUCGAUUUGAGGGAAGCGAGUACAUUUUUUUUUUUACUUUGUUAUAAGGUUUUUACCAUUGUCAGUUCCUAGUUAGGAAAAAUAUGUAGCCAUGUAGGUACCUAAUCUAGUUAUAUCCAAGAUUUUUAUCAUGUAAGUACCUAAUGUCCUGAUGUAUAUGUUAGUGCAUACAGUAUUGGGCUAUCAUACUGACAGUUGAAUAUUAGUUUUAGACAUGAUUUAAGAUAUACUUAGUAUAUUAUGUCUUAAUUCAUGGCUUUAGACAAUUUCCCUAUCAUCAUCCAUGUUAUUAGGUGUCUAGGUAGAGAAAAUUUAACUACGAGCGUGAGGGACCUGAUUCUGGAUGAUAAUUCAGCCCGGCAUAGCAACUUGUAAAUAUCUUUUUUUUAUAAACCUACCUACAUAUAAACAAAUGCAUGAUUGGUUGCAUAAUUUUAAAUUAAUAGGUAGGUACCUAUGAAUUGUGUACAAAUAAAUUUUAGUUUUAAGAAUAGUUUUAACAUAAUCCAGAGUCCACGAGGGGACAAUUUUCAUUGCCUUCCAAAAAUGUUUCGUUUUCUUUUUGUUAUUUUAUUUUAUCAAAUAAUUUAUGAAAAUAC